GAUCAUGGCUCAGGACGAACGCUGGCGGCGCGCCUAACACAUGCAAGUCGAACGAGAGAGAGGGAGCUUGCUUCCUCAAUCGAGUGGCGAACGGGUGAGUAACGCGUGAGGAACCUGCCUCAAAGAGGGGGACAACAGUUGGAAACGACUGCUAAUACCGCAUAAGCCCACGACCCGGCAUCGGGAAGAGGAAAGGAGCAAUCCGCUUUGAGAUGGCCUUGCGUCCGAUUAGCUAGUUGG
rnacentral:rRNA from 1 species